rnacentral:rRNA from 1 species
GCAGCGGAGCGUGUGGUUUAAUUCGUUGCUACACGAAGAACCUUACCUGGGUUUGACAUAUAAGUUGUAGGGAACUGAAAAGGGACCGACCUUCGGGGAGCUUAUACAGGUGUUGCAUGGCUGUCGUCAGCUCGUGUCGUGAGAUGUUCGGUUAAGUCCGCUAACGAGCGCAACCUCGCCGUAUGUUACAAGUGUCAUACGGGACUGCCGGUAAAAGCCGGAGGAAGGUGAGGAUGAUGUCAAGUCAGCAUGACCUUUAUAUCCAGGGCUACACACACGCUACAAUGGUCUGUACAAUUGGUUGCCAAGCCGCGAGGCGGAGCCAAUCCGUAAAGCAGGCCUCAGUUCAGAUUGCAGUCUGCAACUCGACUGCAUGAAGCCGGAGUUGCUAGUAACCGCAGGUCAGCUAUACUGCGUUGAAUACGUUCCCGGGGCUU